CAGGAUGAAAGCUGGCGGCGUGCUUAACACAUGCAAGUCGAACGGAGAUAUCAUUUUCGAAGCGAUUAGUUUACUAAGAGUGGAGAUGUUGGUAUCUUAGUGGCGGACGGGUGAGUAACGCGUGGGUAACCUGCCUUACACUGGGGGAUAACACUUAGAAAUAGGUGCUAAUACCGCAUAACAGGAGAAGACGCAUGUCUUAUCCUUGAAAACUCCGGUGGUGUAAGAUGGACCCGCGUCUGAUUAGCUGGUUGGCGGGGUAACGGCCCACCAAGGCGACGAUCAGUAGCCGGCCUGAGAGGGUGAACGGCCACAUUGGGACUGAGACACGGCCCAAACUCCUACGGGAGGCAGCAGUGGGGAAUAUUGGACAAUGGGGGGAACCCUGAUCCAGCGACGCCGCGUGAGUGAAGAAGUAUUUCGGUAUGUAAAGCUCUAUCAGCAGGGAAGAAAGAAAUGACGGUACCUGACUAAGAAGCCCCGGCUAACUACGUGCCAGCAGCCGCGGUAAUACGUAGGGGGCAAGCGUUAUCCGGAUUUACUGGGUGUAAAGGGAGCGUAGACGGCGAUGCAAGUCUGAAGUGAAAGGCGGGGGCCCAACCCCCGGACUGCUUUGGAAACUGUAUA
rnacentral:rRNA from 1 species